rnacentral:rRNA from 1 species
UACGGAGGGUGCCAGCGUUAUUCGGAAUCAUUGGGUGUAAAGCGCGUGUAGGCGGCCUGGAAAGUCAGAUGUGAAAGCUUCGGGCUUAACCCGGAAAGUGCAUUUGAAACUCCCAGACUUGAGUGCCGGAGAGGAAGGUGGAAUUCCCAGUGUAGAGGUGAAAUUCGUAGAUAUUGGGAGGAACACCGGUGGCGAAGGCGACCUUCUGGACGGACACUGACGCUGAGACGCGAAAGCGUGGGGAGCAAACAGG